GUGCUUUGAGAUCCCCAAUGUGGUCCAGCGCAGCUUUCACCUCCUCCCUGGUAUAUUCAGCCAAAAGAGCAGUGUUCAUAGCAGUAGAAACCCACGGUUCCACCUUAUGAAGCAGCUCCGCAAGUCUGUGGGGGUUGGCUGUAGUGAAUAGGUCCUGAAAGAAAGAACAGACAUAGUUAGUAAGGGCCGGUCCCUCCUUCACCACCGAGCC
rnacentral:lncRNA from 1 species